UUGUUCUCGCACGCGCGCGCGCACGUACGCAUGUAACCGCCAAUUGCAAUAUUUGAAAAAAGAACCCGAUCAACCACUGUUUUGCUGUUCAGAAGUCCGUCUAUAAUUCAUCAUAAACUAAAGGAACACAGGUCAGAUUCGGACAACGACUUCAAAUUCAUUCGCUGAAUACGCUAAACAAUUGGACGACGGAUACACUGGAUGAUAAUAUAGAUGGUCCAGGAUUAUCUGGGAAGGAAACUACAGGUGUUGAACACAGAAAACCGUUUACAAGAAAACAUCUGGAGUUUGUGAAAGCUGCAAGAAAUUAAUCUUGCCGGGUACGCAUUCACUUCACCUUGGUCGAGUGCAGCACAGUGGAUAAAUGUGUUGCUGAAGGAAAACACCAUUGCUAGGAUUCAAACCCACGACACUCUGUUGAAAGGUGAGAGUCAGAACCACUAGACCACGACGCACACACAGUUAACAAGCUGAUGUCAUACUCCCACUUGUUCUUUUGUAUUUUAUAACAAGAAGUCGUGUUUAUUCACAUUUUGACCUCCAAGAACUAAAAAGUGGAGUGAAGAUUUAUUUAAUGUAAACACAUGCAUUGCUUGAAAUCAUUUUAUGCUACGUGGGACAUAUCAUACACGCGUGUACGAAAAUAUGAAAUUAUUAUGAUUUCAUUUUAUAACAUAAGCCUAACACAUAUUCCUGACGAUCAUGUGCACAUUCCAGUAAUUUUUCCCAAAAUGUUGCUAAACCUUCAAAUCAAAGACUUUGUUAUCAGAUUUUAACGAAAUUGUCAACAUUAUGCUUUUCUGAUUAAUUCUCUUCCUACCUAAAUCUCCCCUUUCCUCAUGCUUUCUUUCUAUGGACCCUUCAUUCUCCUUAUAACUAUGUUAUAUGUAAAAUGUAACCGGUCGUCCAACCCAUUUGAUUGAAGGGCUAGGUACUCUAGACUGAAAGUUAUGUGAUUUAAAUUCAAAGAGUACAUCAGACAAAAAAAACACUGAAAAUUUCAUCAAAAUUGAAUGAGGAUUAACGAAAUUAUGACGAAUUAAAGUUGUUAUUUUUUGGUAAAACUGUUCUCUGCAAGUCCUCAUGAAUAUACAAGAUCCCAAUUUAUAUAUUUUUUUGUAUUAUAUGAAUUCAAAUUUUGUCCAAGCUAGGUUGUAAAAAAUUAUGAUUGACUACUGAUAUACUGUGAAAGACAAAAAUUAUAUUAUUUCUCACACAUAGUUGAGUUAUUCAUCUGAUUCAACACAACAAAAAUAGACAAAAAAUAAAUAAGUGAGAAUCUUGUAUAUUUGAACUAUGGGAAAUAGUUAAAAAAUAGAUGUGCUACUAAGAAUUAUUUUCUAUAUGAUUUGCAAAAUAUUAAAAAAAGA